rnacentral:rRNA from 1 species
AAAAUAAUAAAAAAUUUUUAAUAAAUGUAAGAUAUAACUAAGGAACUCGGCAAAUAAUGCUUUUGCCUGUUUAUCAAAAACAUGUCUAUAUGAUUGUUAUAUAAAGUCUGGCCUGCCCACUGAUUUAUUUUAAAGGGCCGCGGUAUACUGACCGUGCGAAGGUAGCAUAAUCAUUAGUCUUUUAAUUGAAGGCUUGUAUGAAUGGUUGGACAAAAAGCAAACUGUCUCAGUUGUAAUAAUUGAAUUUAACUUUUGAGUGAAAAGGCUUAAAUAAGUUAGGGGGACGAUAAGACCCUAUAAAGCUUGACAAUAAGCCGUUUAUAUUAUAAAUUGUUAGUAUAACUUGAUUUUAAAUGGUGUUUGUUGCGUUGGGGCGACGAGAAUAUAAAAGAUAACUGUUCUUAUAAUAUUUAAUAACAGAAAUAGUUGGAAAAGUAAUGAUCCUUUCUUUAAGAUCAUAAGAUUAAGUUACUUUAGGGAUAACAGCGUAAUCUUCCUUGAGAGUUCAUAUCGA